rnacentral:misc_RNA from 1 species
GAUGAAGAACGUAGCGAAAUGCGAUAAGUAAUGUGAAUUGCAGAAUUCAGUGAAUCAUCGAAUCUUUGAACGCACAUUGCGCCCCCUGGUAUUCCGGGGGGCAUGCCUGUCCGAGCGUCAUUACUACCCUCAAGCUCAGCUUGGUAUUGGGCCCCGCCGACCCGGCGGGCCCUAAAGUCAGUGGCGGUGCCGUCCGGCUCCGAGCGUAGUAAUUCUUCUCGCUCUGGAGGUCCGGUCGUGUGCUCGCCAGCAACCCCCAAUUUUUUUCAGGUUGACCUCGGAUCAGGUAGGGAUACCCGCUGAACUUAAGCAUAUCAAUAAGCGGAGGA